AGCAGCCGCGGUAAUUCCAGCUCCAAUAGCGUAUAUUAAAGUUGUUGCAGUUAAAAAGCUCGUAGUUGAAUUUCGGGGUUAGUAGGUUGGUCAUGCCUCUGGUAUGUACUGGUCUCACUGAUUCCUCCUUCCUUAUGAACCGUAAUGCCAUUAAUUUGGUGUUGCGAGGAAUUUGGACUGUUACUUUGAAAAAAUUAGAGUGUUUAAAGCAAGCUAACGCUUGAAUACAUUAGCAUGGAAUAAUGAAAUAGGACGUUCGAUCUUAUUUUGUUGGUUUCUAGGGUCGACGUAAUGAUUAAUAGGGAUAGUUGGGGGCAUUAGUAUUCAAUUGUCAGAGGUGAAAUUCUUGGAUUUAUUGAAGACUAACUACUGCGAAAGCAUUUGCCAAGGAUGUUUUCAUCAAUCAAGAACGAAAGUUAGGGGAUCGAAGACGAUCAGAUACCGUCGUAGUCUUAACCAUAAACUAUGCCGACUAGGGAUCGGAUGAUGUUAAUUUUUAAUGACUCAUUCGGCGCCUUAC
rnacentral:rRNA from 1 species